CGAUGUUUCCACUUUCAGGCCCCACAACUGCUCUUCUUGGCUUUUUUCCUGAGGUUCUUGCAACUGCAAAUGGAAUAAUACACUCAAAUUUUGAAGUGGGUCGAGCAAAUUGUAAACCCUAGCCCCAAAUUCCCAUCACCUGUUAUACAAAAAAAUGAUCAGUCAAUCAUAACAUACAGUAACAUCAUUUGAACCUAAACUUUUCAAAAGAGGGCUAGAAAGAAGAAAAAAAACAAGUAAAAACGCAGAAUCCAUAAAGGAUGUUUACCUACUUUGGCUACAAUACCAGUCUGGAUUGGUUUAUAUCAAGCUCUUUCAAAUGUGGCAAAUGAGGGACUGCUGACAGAAGGUUUCUUUUGGAUCCCCUCUUUCGAAGGCCCAACUACAAUAGCUGCUCGAUAAAGUGGAGCUGGAAUUUCCUGGCUUAUUCCGUUUGUGGUAAUUACACCAUGUUCUUUAUUCAUUGUCUUUGUUGUUUCUUUUAUCUAUAUUUGGAAUUUUAUUUCUUUGACAUCAUUUUUUAUGUUGACGUCCCUUAUCAUGCAUGCUUUAUUCCGAACACUUGAAAGGAACCAACAUAACUAUAUGUUCACCUGUUGAGACGUUUUGGCUUGAAGAACGUUGUUCAGUGACAAAGGCAUGGACUAGGAGAAUCUUUUGUUUUUCA